GGCAAAGAUAUCUCUAAUGAGACAGAGAGGGGUAUUUAAAAAAAAAAAAAAAUACCCCUCUCUGUCUCAUUAGAGAUAUUUUUGCC